CGACGGGUAGCCGGCCUGAGAGGGUGACCGGCCACACUGGGACUGAGACACGGCCCAGACUCCUACGGGAGGCAGCAGUGGGGAAUAUUGCACAAUGGGCGCAAGCCUGAUGCAGCGACGCCGCGUGAGGGAUGACGGCCUUCGGGUUGUAAACCUCUUUCAGUAGGGAAGAAGCCGCAAGGUGACGGUACCUGCAGAAGAAGCGCCGGCUAACUACGUGCCAGCAGCCGCGGUAAUACGUAGGGCGCAAGCGUUAUCCGGAAUUAUUGGGCGUAAAGAGCUCGUAGGCGGUUUGUCGCGUCUGCCGUGAAAGUCCGGGGCUCAACUCCGGAUCUGCGGUGGGUACGGGCAGACUAGAGUGAUGUAGGGGAGACUGGAAUUCCUGGUGUAGCGGUGAAAUGCGCAGAUAUCAGGAGGAACACCGAUGGCGAAGGCAGGUCUCUGGGCAUUAACUGACGCUGAGGAGCGAAAGCAUGGGGAGCGAACAGGAUUAGAUACCCUGGUAGUCCAUGCCGUAAACGUUGGGCACUAGGUGUGGGGGACAUUCCACGUUUUCCGCGCCGUAGCUAACGCAUUAAGUGCCCCGCCUGGGGAGGUACGG
rnacentral:rRNA from 1 species